rnacentral:rRNA from 1 species
GACGAACGCUGGCGGCGUGCUUAACACAUGCAAGUCGAACGGAAAGGCCCUGCUUUUGUGGGGUGCUCGAGUGGCGAACGGGUGAGUAACACGUGAGUAACCUGCCCUUGACUUUGGGAUAACUUCAGGAAACUGGGGCUAAUACCGGAUAGGAGCUCCUGCUGCAUGGUGGGGGUUGGAAAGUUUCGGCGGUUGGGGAUGGACUCGCGGCUUAUCAGCUUGUUGGUGGGGUAGUGGCUUACCAAGGCUUUGACGGGUAGCCGGCCUGAGAGGGUGA